rnacentral:rRNA from 1 species
AUUGAACGCUGGCGGCAGGCCUAACACAUGCAAGUCGAACGGUAACAGAAAGCAGCUUGCUGCUUUGCUGACGAGUGGCGGACGGGUGAGUAAUGUCUGGGAAACUGCCUGAUGGAGGGGGAUAACUACUGGAAACGGUAGCUAAUACCGCAUAACGUCGCAAGACCAAAGAGGGGGACCUUCGGGCCUCUUGCCCUCGGAUGUGCCCAGAUGGGAUUAGCUAGUAGGUGGGGUAACGGCUCACCUAGGCGACGAUCCCUAGCUGGUCUGAGAGGAUGACCAGCCACACUGGAACUGAGACACGGUCCAGACUCCUGCGGGAGGCAGCAGUGGGGAAUAUUGCACAAUGGGCGCAAGACUGAUGCAGCCAUGCCGAGUGUAUGAAGAAGGCCUUCGGGUUGUAAAGUACUUUCAGCGGGGAGGAAGGGAGUAAAGUUAAUACCUUUGCUCAUUGACGUUACCCGCAGAAGAAGCACCGGCUAACUCCGUG